AAGUGAGAAUGCCGGUGUGAGUAGCGAAAGACGGGUGAGAAUCCCGUCCACCGAUUGACUAAGGUUUCCAGAGGAAGGCUCGUCCGCUCUGGGUUAGUCGGGUCCUAAGCUGAGGCCGACAGGCGUAGGCGAUGGAUAACAGGUUGAUAUUCCUGUACCACCUAUAAUCGUUUUAAUCGAUGGGGGGACGCAGUAGGAUAGGCGAAGCGUGCGAUUGGAUUGCACGUCUAAGCAGUAAGGCUGAGUAUUAGGCAAAUCCGGUACUCGUUAAGGCUGAGCUGUGAUGGGGAGAAGACAUUGUGUCUUCGAGUCGUUGAUUUCACACUGCCGAGAAAAGCCUCUAGAUAGAAAAUAGGUGCCCGUACCGCAAACCGACACAGGUAGUCAAGAUGAGAAUUCUAAGGUGAGCGAGCGAACUCUCGUUAAGGAACUCGGCAAAAUGACCCCGUAACUUCGGGAGAAGGGGUGCUCUUUAGGGUUAACGCCCAGAAGAGCCGCAGUGAAUAGGCCCAAGCGACUGUUUAUCAAAAACACAGGUCUCUGCUAAACCGUAAGGUGAUGUAUAGGGGCUGACGCCUGCCCGGUGCUGGAAG
rnacentral:rRNA from 1 species